UUUACCGGUCACUCAGUCAGGCUCAGUCUCCUCUCGAAGAACCGGGUUUGAGUCGAUUUCUCUCGUGUUUCAAAAGUGUGCUUGCGCUUUGUGUUGGUGUUUUGUGGUAUGUCAGUGCUGCUGAUUGCGAAGAUGCUCUAUGCUCAAGCGAAGACGUGUGGGUUCGUAUCGUGGAGGACUCACCAGCCUAUGCAUGCCCCUCGUACGAACUGAGUGUGAAAGACUUUCGGACAAACCUGUCAUCAAUGGUGGCUCGUGGAAAAGUUGGCUUCUGAAUGUACAGCAGCUGCACAUUACUUCUGUUUCCUAUGGAAAGGGUACUUCCCUGAGCCUCCUGGUUGCUGUAUUUAAGUAGCUCGCAUGUUCAGUAUGUUCAAUAUUAGGCCUUUUGUUUUUUCUUAAAAAAACUCAAUGCUGUAAGUUGUGUGUGUAAAAGCCACCUUUGUAGAUAUCUAAGUGUUUAGGAGAACACAAUGUGCAACAUUAGUUAUCACUGUCAGCCUUGCCCUUGAAUAAGAUUCAAUAAUGAACUUAUUAGUGACGGCAGCAGGUGGUCAUGCACGUAUUAAAAAUUUGAGGCAGUCAAUUUUCUACAUAUGUUCGAAGAAUUCUGGCAUGCCUGUGCUCAGAUAUCCCGCUGGAAAAAAUAGUUGUGGCUUGUAUUAUUAUGCAUGCAGGACAGUGAGCACUAGCACACAGCUACUACUCCCUGAGGUGCCGCAUAUAAUCUGAUCAUGGAUCGAAGCCAUAGAGAAGCAUUAUAUUGGUAACCUUUUUACUACCGGCUGGAAUAUAGCAAGCACUGACUGCUUGUCUCACCAGGGAGUAAUAUUUUGCUGAUCCUCGCUGCCUUGCAUGAGUAAUCAUGAAAGACACAAUAAACUUCCGAGAGGAAUUCUCAGAGCAUAGACAUGCUCGAAGAAUUUUUCCAAGUGGGAGUGUGUAGAAACACGACUGCCACAAACUGCUCUAUGCAAACAUACUCACUUAACGUAGGCACCGAAAUUUCGGUAUUAGUUGAUUGGGCAGUUGACAGCAUUAUCUUUCUUUGUGUUCCCCUGGACACAUGACUUAUCUGCAAAGGCAGUUUUCUGUUCUUAUAGCUAAAUUUUAUUACAAGCACAAAGCACGUCUCUGAAUGUGUCAGUGCUGCUUUCUAAGGUUUUAUGUCAUGUUCAAAUAGGUGUAGUCUGCAGUUAGUCACUUAAAAUUGAACUUUUUGCAUUGCAAUAAGGCUGUAGCAGAUCAAUGGUUUUAUUUUCACUGUAAUAUUGAAUGAAUAUUUUGUUUUAUUGUUGUUGUAACCUUAUUUUAUUGUCUUCUGGAAUUUAAUGCCGUAAGUUCAAUCAGGUGACUUUCUAUUGUCAUACUUAAUCAUACCUAACUUUGCCAUUAUCUAACCAUUUGUGACAUAUUAGUGAUACCUAACCAUGUUUAACAUUGUUAAUGAUGACUGACAGAAGGCAUUCUGGAAUACUGUAGCGUUUUUAACUUCACUGUGUAUUUUGUGCGAGUAUUUUGGGAUGGAAUUAGAAUUCGGGGUGUUGCGAAAAUCACAAUUUGAUUGUUUAACACAGAUUUGUGGUGAAACACAUGAAUUUCAACUACCUAGAUUCUAUACCUAAAUUUGGAGAUGAGAAAAAAAUCAAUUGUUCGACUGCUGGUUUUUGGCUGUAACAAAUUUUCUACCUUUAUGUAUUUGCUACUGGGCCAAUGUGUUUGCUAAGUUAGCCUUCUGAAUUUCGUUGCACUGACAGAAGUCUGCUUGAAGAGAACAGUGCCUUUUGUAUGUGUGCAGGUUCCUGGACCAAGCAUCUGGCCAGCCCCUCAAUCGCUUUGUAUAAAUAUAGUUACUAUAAAGCAUGCAAGUUUUGGGACAAAUUGUGCAGUCAUUGUCAAGUUUAAUAAAGGUUACAAGUAUGCAACAA